rnacentral:rRNA from 1 species
GAGGUUAAGCGACUAAGCGUACACGGUGGAUGCCCUGGCAGUCAGAGGCGAUGAAGGGCGUACUAAUCUGCGAUAAGCGCCGGUAAGGUGAUAUGAACCGUUAUAACCGGCGAUACCCGAAUGGGGAAACCCAGUGUGAUUCGUCACACUAUCAUUAACUGAAUCCAUAGGUUAAUGAGGCGAACCGGGGGAACUGAAACAUCUAAGUACCCCGAGGAAAAGAAAUCAACCGAGAUUCCCCCAGUAGCGGCGAGCGAACGGGGAGGAGCCCAGAGCCUGAAUCAGCAUGUGUGUUAGUGGAAGCGUCUGGAAAGGCGCGCGAUACAGGGUGACAGCCCCGUACACAAAAGCGCAUGUGCUGUGAGCUCGAUGAGUAGGGCGGGACACGUGGUAUCCUGUCUGAAUAUGGGGGGACCAUCCUCCAAGGCUAAAUACUCCUGACUGACCGAUAGUGAACCAGUACCGUGAGGGAAAGGCGAAAAGAACCCCGGCGAGGGGAGUGAAAAAGAACCUGAAACCGUGUACGUACAAGCAGUGGGAGCCCCACCACCAAAGCAUUUGCUGUACCGCGUUGACGGAGCGAAGCGACGUCAAAC